rnacentral:snoRNA from 1 species
CCUGCCCCCAGAGGCACUGCAGGUGUGGCUGCUGUGUGGCGGAAAGGAGGGAGGCGGGUCUGUCUAUGCUCAGUCUUCUGACCCGUGAACAUCUGAAUGAUGAGUGGCCUAACAUC